GCUAGUGUGGCAUAGUGGUUUGAGUGUUGGACUAUAACCCAGGAGACCAGGGUUCAAUUCCCAGCCCAGCC